rnacentral:lncRNA from 1 species
AAUCUAUAUGCUUUGGAGUUAAUAUAACAACUUGUUGCAUGAAAGUAGCCAUACCGAUUAGGAGGACAAGAAACUCAAGUAGAGCAUUUAAGACCUAGUGCAGGAGGCUCAGAAUCUGAAGUAAUUGUAGAUGUCACAUCUGAUUCAAUAAUAGUCGGUUGAAUAGGCUCAAAUGAUUGGUCAAUAUUAGAAAGAGGCAAAGUUUGGCGAUCAUCAAAGUAAGGAAGACUACUGACUUUAAGUAAUGACCAAGUAUAUGUAG